rnacentral:piRNA from 1 species
UCACUGAAAAGUGUCACUGGAGGAAGAGCUCU